rnacentral:misc_RNA from 1 species
AACCAUAGAAACCUGCGGAGUACCUGCGGAAGGAUCAUUACCGAGUUUACAACUCCCAAACCCCUGUGAACAUACCUAUACGUUGCCUCGGCGGAUCAGCCCGCGCCCCGUAAAAAGGGACGGCCCGCCCGAGGACCCCUAAACUCUGUUUUUAGUGGAACUUCUGAGUAAAACAAACAAAUAAAUCAAAACUUUCAGCAACGGAUCU